CCUACGGGUGGCUGCAGUCGAGAAUUUUUCUCAAUGGGCGAAAGCCUGAAGGAGCGACGCCGCGUGGGGGAUGAAGGGUUUCGAUCCGUAAACCCCUGUCAUUUGUGAACAAUGGUUAUCCAUGAAUAGUGGAUGACUUGAUAGUAAUGAAAGAGGAAGGGACGGCUAACUCUGUGCCAGCAGCCGCGGUAAUACAGAGGUCCCGAGCGUUGUUCGGAUUCACUGGGCGUAAAGGGUGCGUAGGUGGCUUGAUAAGUUUGAUGUGAAAGCUCAGG
rnacentral:rRNA from 1 species